rnacentral:rRNA from 1 species
UACGUAGGGCGCAAGCGUUGUCCGGAAUUAUUGGGCGUAAAGAGCUCGUAGGCGGCCUGUUGCGUCCGCUGUGAAAUCCCGGGGCUCAACCCCGGGCCUGCAGUGGAUACGGGCUGGCUAGAGGCAGGCAGGGGAGAACGGAAUUCCUGGUGUAGCGGUGAAAUGCGCAGAUAUCAGGAGGAACACCGGUGGCGAAGGCGGUUCUCUGGGCCUGUACUGACGCUGAGGGGCGAAAGCGUGGGGAGCGAACAGG